rnacentral:lncRNA from 1 species
CUAAUAAAACCUGCAAACACUUCUGAAAAUUUAAAUCCAACCAUAAACUCCUGGAGCCUUCGUGCUCCCCAAAUCACAACAUCUCCCAAUUUAAUUUCUAACUUAAACAAGAAAAUCUCAUAGCCAACAGCCACAGUUCAGAGCAACUCUAUUUGAAAGGAAAUGAACUAGAAAUAUAAAAAUGAGCGGAAGCUACACUAUUGACUAUGCCUCUUCUCCAUAUACGUCCGACCUCAACUAUGCAAUCCUGCAAACUGGGCAUUUUUAAAACGAAGAGCCCAGGGGAAAACAUUUGAAAACGAAACGUUAGAGUGAGUGGACAAAAAUAAAUUAACGAAUAAAAUAUCUAAUGUUUCCCCAAAUCAAUUUCCAAGGAAAAUCGAAUACAUGCUGCAAGCGAUAAAACUUUUAUCUCAUAAAUAUCGAGUCUCUCAGGCUCUAUAAUAUAUGUAUGUAUUUACACACGUCCAUACUCCCUAUAUAAAUUCAUGGGUCUAUAUAGGGCUACUACGCUCGCGUCCAACGCUCACGUCACGCCUUAAUGCGGUGCUACACUACGCCAUUAAGGUGGACAGACGGGUGUAUAAAUAUGUGCCCAUACCCCCUAUAUGAAUUAAACACUCAUGUAGGGCUNNNNNNNNNNNNNNNNNNNNAUUUUUCGGUAACUCUCCAAGAGAAAUAAAAGCGUCAAAAUUAAAUGACGUCAAAACUCCAACAAUUUUAAAUGCUCAACCAAAACCAUAGCAUGCAUAUUAUUUAAAAUAAAAGUCCACUCACAGAAUGAGGCCUAAGCCUUCCAAUGCUCGGAAUACUCCUCGAGCGCCGCCUCCAACUAAUCACACUCUCUAGCCAAUCCCACGUCUGACGAUAAACAGAAGAAUAAAUUGGUCAGACCGGACUCCAAUAAUCAUUAACGAUUCGACUUCUUCCUAGUUUGACUAGGUUUACUGAGUUGACCAGGAUUGACCAAGUUUGACCAAUUGAUUUAUGAUUAGCCAACUAACGAAGCCUCAACAAUUUCCAUUUUAACCUUCGACUUAACAAAUCGGGUUACCUUGAUUACUCUACCAUCCAAUUUAAUUCCAACAACCAUCUUAAUAAUUCAAUUACAAUUGAUUCUUCAUCCAAACAAUCCUCAAUCACUCUCUCUCUAUACAACUUCACACCAUAAAUCACUAAGGGCACCCAAAAUGGGUUUCCAUAAAUAGAAAGUUUUCAAAAAAGGGAAAGUUUCCCCAAAAUAGGAACUUUCCUCACUUAGAAAGAUUUCCGAUUAUAAACCGACAAACUUUCCUAUUUAUGAAACAACGCAAAACAAAAAGGAAAACUUCAAUAACUACCUCAACUGCUCUUGUCGGACUAACUGCCUUCGUCGGAUUCCGACGACUUGUCGGAAUAUUCUGCCGGAUUCCGGCCACUUGCCGGAAAAUUGGCCAUAGUCUCCCUGCAUCUUCUAAUCUCCAAGUUAUCGACAAUCAUGCAGAAAAUAAACGAUUCAAACACCAACCAACCGAAACCACACAACAACAACAACACCAAAGAUCAAGACUUACCACUCACCUUGCUAUAAUCCUCGCCGAAACCAUGUUCACUGACAGCCCAAAACCGCAGUCAUGAUCGGAGGACACUCAAUCAAACACCCAAAACCACUAGCCUCCUUCCGAAACAGUAACAACUUCCUCCAAACUUCUUCCAAAGUGCGUCGGGGCUCCCACCAACCACAACUAGGUUCGCCUGAGCUCGACGGACACACUGAAAUUCAAGAACAAAAAGCCCUUGUUGGAGACCGAACUUCAAACCCAGAAAACCAGAGAAAGGGGGAAAAUCUGAUUAGGGCUCUAUAUUUGGAAAUCGAAGCUCAAGGAAGACCGAAAAACUAGAGGAAGUGAUGAGCAUACCUUCACGAAGCACAAGCUCACCGGAAAAGAAAAGAUUCGGCCGGAAUUUGGGUUUUGGGGAUUUAGGGUUCUUGUUUCGAUCGAACGGGAUAGAUGAUGCCUGGCAAGUUGAUGGGUAGCAGUAGAGAGAGGAGAGAGAGACAAGUCGAUUGGGGGUGGUAGCUCGACCAGCGACGGCCGGACGACGGCGCUCCGACGUGGAGAAGAGAGAGAGAGAAGAGAAAGUCGGGAGGGAGGAGAGAGAGAAGAGAGAAUAGGGUUUGGGUCUUUUUUUUUUUUUCCAAACCGGUUCCUACCCAAACCAAAUAUAAACCGAACUCCAAAAAAUAAAACACCCCGAAAAAUAAUACCCGAAUAAAAAUUACCUUUUACUAGCUAAAAUUUACCAUUUUUACCGUCGUCAUAUUUUCCUCCUACAAAUAAUCCUCCGAGCAUAACUGUCCCCGAAACCCCUCUAGGGACCAAUUAAACUAUAACUUCAAUGACGGAGACGGUAAAAUUCUUAUUAUAACCAAGCUAGUAAAUAAGGUAAAAAUUUACGGGUCAGGAUGUGACAACCUUGGCCCGCCUUGACCCUCCUUAGACCCGUCUUGGCCCGCCAUGACACGCCUUGAACCACCUUGGGCCGCCUUGACCUUCCUAGACCUGCCUAGGGCCGCCUUGACCCCCCUUGACCCACUUUGACCCGCCUUUACCCGUCUUGGCCCGCCUUGAACCACCUAGGGCCGCCUUGACCCUCCUAAACCCGCCUAGGGGUACCAAGAAGCGUACAUGACUCCCCAUGACUCGCCUAGGCCCGUCAAGGGGCUGCCUUUACAUGCCUUGACCCUCCUAGACCCGUCUAGGGCCGCCUUAACCCGCCUUGGCCCGCCUUGACCCUCCUCGGCCCUUCUAGGAUCACCUAUGGCUGCCAAGGGGGAGCCAUGAUCCACUUAGAGCUACCAAGGGGCUGCCUUUACACCUCUUGACCAGUCUAGGGCCGCCAAAGGGACCGCCUUAACACGCCUAGGGCUGCCAAGGGGACGUUUUGACCUGUCUAGGGCCGCCAAGGGGGCUGCCUUUACACGCCUAGGGUUGUUUUGACCUCCCUAGAGCUUGCCAUGACCAGCCUAUGGCCGCCAAGGGGCUGCCUUGGGCCGCCAUGGGGCCACCUUGACCCAUCUUGGCCGCCUUGACCCGCCUUAGUCUGCCUUGGCCGGCCUUGAUCCGCCUUGGUCCGCCUUGAUCCGCUUUGGGCCGCCAUAACCUGCCUUGACCAGUCUUUGACCCGCCAUGACCUGCCUUGACCCUUCUUUAACCGCAUUAUGGUGUGACGUGACCGUUAGACGCAAGCGUAGUAGCCCUAUAUGAGUGUUUAAUUCAUAUAGGGGGCAUGUGAACAUAUUUAUACACUCGUCUGUCCACCUUAAUAGCGUAAUGUAUCACCGCAUUAAGGCGUGACGUGAGCGUUAGACGCAAGCGUAGUAGCCCUGUAUGAAUUUAUAUUUUUCAUAAGGAUUCAUACAAGGAGUAUGGACGUGUGUAAAUACAUACAUAUGUUUAUAUAUAUUUUUGAGCUUGAGAGGCUCGAUAUUUUAUGAGUUGAAAGUUUUAUCGCUUGGGGCAUGCAUUCGCUUUUCUUUGAAAAUUUAAUUUGGGAAAGCAUAAAGAUAUUUAUUGCUCGUUUCUUUUAA